GCCACCUGGAACAUUGUUCCAGGUGCCCAGCUGCUCUGACUGGCAGUGGGCAAAGCAGGAGCUUAUGAACAACCCGUUGCUCCUGGAUUGGGAGAAGCCCUGCACAGAUGAUACCAUCUGGUCCCUGAAACCUACACUUUGUCGCGGAUGUUCAUCUGGGACGCAUUGCAGGCUGAACGGUUGGACUUGCAGGCUCGCCAAGAGCCGCUGGGAUCAGCUCUAUCCGGAGCCAGGCUCAGCGAAAUCUGACCCAUCGAUCGCAUUUGCAGCAUGAUGAACAUCGGAGUCUUCAAGUCGUUGAUUAUGUUUUGGGGGAAGAAGCACUGCAUCAUUUAGCUUUCCAUGUUCAGAGAACUCAUUCAGCAGCUUCAACGAAUGUGUUUGUUUGCUUGCUCUAUUUGCAGGGCCAAAAAUUUGUGAGAGAGGAGAGGAGCAGCAGCACAAACUGAUGUGGCGUCCAGACGGGCGGUGCAAGACCCCGGCAGGCUCUGAGGUAUCCCCUGCAAGGCCACGAUGUCGCCGAAGUAGGACCUCAAGCUGCGGCCUCCGGAGAUAUCCAUGCUGCAGCAAUGCGAAACCUGCUGUUAAACCUCCAUUUGAUCGCAGAAGGAAGGUUAAGCCACACGCACGCGUCGAGGUAGAGGCCGCCGUCGGAGAGGCACUUGACGGUGGUUUGCCGGCUGCCGGCGGCGGGUGGGAAGAAGGCGCGGAGCUGGUCGCAGUGCAGUAUCACCGCCAGCCCACCCGAGGAGCAGCCGGUGAGCAGCACCUGUUUGGUUGAUCGGCAUCCACACAAGUUGGAUGGAUUGAGCUGGAGGAUCGGAGGCGAUUAGUAGAUUGAGAAAGAGAGGGGUACCUGAUCUGCAGAGGCCAUCCCAAUGGAGAGGAGGUGCUUGAUGACAGCGUUCCAGAUUCGCUGGCCCCGGAAAUAAAUCCCAGCCUCCUGUAAUCAACUCAAGCAAAUCGAUUAGUGCUUAUUAAGCUGAAGCUUAACUUUAUGGCCUAUGAUAUUUUACUAGGUGAAUUUGAGAAUGGAAAUAGACUCAUGGAAUAGGAGUCAAAUAGUAGAUGAGUAGAUCGUGGCUUGGAUGGGUUGUAUGCUAGUUUUAUGAUAUCUUUGUACUAAAUGGUUGUGCGAAAUUGGAUGGUAACUUAGAUUUCCCUGAACUUUUAGAUAAACAAGGUCUUUGUUUUGAACAUAGUUUUCGAACACGGUUUUUUACUAGAAAUGGUACACAAGGGAUCAGAAAUCUUCGCAAG